rnacentral:rRNA from 1 species
GCCGCGGUACCCUAACCGUGCAAAGGUAGCAUAAUCACUUGUUCUCUAAAUCAGGACUAGUAUGAACGGCCCCACGAGAGCUGUACUGUCUCCCCCCCUCAAUCAGUGAAACUGAUCCCCCCGUGAAGAAGCGGGGACAUCCCCAUAAGACGAGAAGACCCCAUGGAGCUUUAAACUUACACCACUGCUUUCCCCCACCAAAUAAUUUAUGCAAUAUGGUACUAAGUCUUUCGGCUGGGGCGACCGCGGAGAAAAACAAAACCUCCAUGAUGAAAGGACACCCUAAUUAAAGAGCUACUGCUCUAAAAAUCAACAAAUUGACAUAAAUUGACCCAAAUUUUUUUGAUCAACGAACCUAGUUACCCUGGGGAUAACAGCGCAAUCCAUUUCGAGAGACCCCAUCAACAAAUGGGCUUACGACCUCGAUGUUGGAUCAGGGUAUCCUGGUGGGGCAGCCGCUACC